rnacentral:rRNA from 1 species
GACNCUUCNGGGCAGGNUUUUUCCCGCUAGUCGAGCGGGGGAAGGUANCUUUGCUACUGGACCUAGCGGCGGACGGGUGAGUAUGCUUAGGAUCUGCCUCUUAGUGGGGGACAACAUCUCGAAAGGGAUGCUAAUACCGCAUACGUCCUACGGGAGAAAGCAGGGGAUCUUCGGACCUUGCGCUAAUAGAUGGAGCCUAAGUCGGAUUAGCUAGUUGGGUGGGGUAAAGGCCUACCAAGGCGACGAUCUGUAGCGGGUCUNGAGAGGAUGAUCCGCCACACUGGGACUGAGACACGGCCCANACUCCUACGGGAGGCAGCAGUGGGGAAUAUUGGGACAAUGGGGGGAACCCUGAUCCAGCCAUGCCGCGUGUGUGAAGAAGGCCUUAUGGUUGUAAAGCACUUUAAGCGAGGAGGAGGCUACUCUAGUUAAUACCUAGGGAUAGUGGACGUUACUCGCAGAAUAAGCACCGGCUAACUCUGUGCCAGCAGCCGCGGUAAUACAGAGGGUGCGAGCGUUAAUCGGAUUUACUGGGCGUAAAGCGUGCGUAGGCGGCUUAUUAAGUCGGAUGUGAAAUCCCCCGAGCUUAACUUGGGAAUUGCAUUCCGAUACUGGUGGAGCUAGAGUAUGGGGANAGGAUGGUANAAUUCCAGGUGUANCGGUGAAUUGCGUAAAGAUCUGGAGGAAUACCGAUGGGCGAAGGCAGCCNUCUGGCCUAAUACUGGACNCUGAGGUACNAAAGCNUGGGGACCAAACAGGAUUANANANCCNNGGUAGUCCAUGCCGAAAACNAUGUCUACUAACCNGUNGGGGCCUUUGAAGGCUUUAAUG